rnacentral:lncRNA from 1 species
GAUCCAAGGGCUUCAAAUGUGCUUCACAGACAAGGAAAAAAUCUCCCAGUUGGCCGCUCCUGGAUUCCUUAGCUCGGAACUCCAGACACAUAUUCAGUCUCUCUUAAUAUGAUCAUGAGGGAAGUCUGGAAGUAUCUCUUGAAUCUAAAAAUGCAGAUGCCCCACACCUCAUCUGUUCCCAUCUUGGCACCAUCCUACCUGCACCUCGGCAAGGAGAUUUGGUCUCAUGUUUGUCACCGCAAGCAAUUGAAACAACUGGCGUGUCUGGCAACAGAUGAAAUAAGGCAUGAUUGACUCCAGAAGAAGGAGAUGAAGAAGCCUAGAUUCCAUAAUGCGGGAGUCCCAGAUCCUCAAAGUACGAUGAUUCGCCAAAUCAAGAAAUGAGGAUUAGGAAGCAGUCACCCUCGAAAGGAACUAAAUCAUCACCUUGGGAAUUGUGGCCAGUCAUGAGACAUGCAUGAGGAGACUGAAGGGGGUUUUUGCAGUGCCAGGUGUGGAUUGAGAUUCAGCCUUGUAAGACUUACUCACUGAAAACUGGAAUUUGCUUAGUUCCAAGGUAACCUUUUGUAACAGAUGUCAUUGGCUACCUAUCCAAUAGUCAUUCCACUUCCCUUUGUUUUUCCUUGGAGGAGAACAAGAUUUUCUUCAUUAUACACAAUAAAAUUGGGAUGUCCG